UACGUAGGGUGCGAGCGUUAAUCGGAAUUACUGGGCGUAAAGCGUGCGCAGGCGGUUUUGUAAGCCAGAUGUGAAAUCCCCGGGCUUAACCUGGGAAUGGCAUUCGGGACUGCAAGGCUGGAGUGCGGCAGAGGAGACUGGAAUUCCUGGUGUAGCAGUGAAAUGCGUAGAUAUCAGGAGGAGCACCGAUGGCGAAGGCAGGUCUCUGGGCUGACACUGACGCUCAUGCACGAAAGCGUGGGGAGCAAACAGG
rnacentral:rRNA from 1 species